rnacentral:rRNA from 1 species
UUGCAUCGAUGAAGAACGUAGCAAACUGCGAUACUUGGUGUGAAUUGCAGAAUCCCGUGAACCAUCGAGUCUUUGAACGCAAGUUGCGCCCGAAGCUUCGGCCGAGGGCACGUCUGCCUGGGCGUCACGC